UAUGUAUGUAUGUAUAUACUAUACUACCACUGACCAGAUAACACAUAGACUAGACAUGUAGUACAAAGUUUUUCAACACCGAAAAAUCUGUCUCGUAGGUCCCAAUCAACUUCG